rnacentral:rRNA from 1 species
UCAGGCCUAACACAUGCAAGUCGAACGAGAUUAUAGGGUAAGCUUGCUUACCUUAUAUGACAGUGGCGCACGGGUGCGUAACGCGUAUGCAACCUACCUUAAUCAGGGGGAUAGCCUCUCGAAAGAGAGAUUAAUACCGCAUAAAAACACAGUACGGCAUCGUACAAUGUUCAAACAUUUAUGGGAUUAAGAUGGGCAUGCGUGACAUUAGCUAGUUGGUGAGGUAACGGCUCACCAAGGCAACGAUGUCCAGGGGAUCUGAGAGGAUGACCCCCCACACUGGUACUGAGACACGGACCAGACUCCUACGGGAGGCAGCAGUAAGGAAUAUUGGUCAAUGGACGCAAGUCUGAAAAGGCCAUGCCGCGUGCAGGAAGACGGCCCUAUGGG